rnacentral:misc_RNA from 1 species
GAUGAAGAACGUAGUGAAAUGCGAUACGUAGUGUGAAUUGCAGAAUUCCGUGAACCAUCAAAUCUUUGAACGCAUAUUGCGCUCGAGGCUUCGGCCGAGAGCAUGUCUGCCUCAGCGUCGGUAUUACCCCUCGCUUCUCAACCCCUGGUUGAUGCCUGCCUGCCUUUGCAGUUGGCUAGAAGCGGAUCUGGCUUUCCCAAUUGCCUUUGGUAGUUGGGUCAGCUGAAGCACAGAGGCUUGAGCAAGGACCCUUAUUGGGCUUCAACUGGAUAGGUAGAACUGGUCUUAGGACCAACUACACGAAGUUGUUGCUUGUGGUCUUUUGUCUGGAGGCCAGCAGGAAACCUUUAUACCUUCGACCUGAGCUCAGGCAAGAUUACCCGCUGAACUUAAGCAUAUCAAUAAGCGGAGGA